GGCGGGAUGGGCGGCCCGGCGCCCCCCGGCUGCGACCCCGCGGACCCUCCCCUCGGCGCGCCGCCUCCUCAGCCGGGCGCUAGAGCGGGCGGCGCGUAGGGCGGCGAGCGGGCUCCCGCCGAGGAGCCGCCGGUUCCCCCCGACACCCCCCCAACUCCGGCCACUCGGCAGCUCGAGCCGCCGCCCCGGGGCGCUCCCGAGGCCCCGCAGGAGGGACCAUGAAAGUGAGGUCGGCCACCGGCGAUGGAGAUGCGUUGUGUGUUACAGAAGAGGAGCUGGCUGGUGACGACGAGGACAUGCCGACCUUCCCAUGCACACCAGAGGACCGGCCGGGGCCCCGCUGCAGCCGCUGCCAGAAGAACCUGUCUUUGCACACAUCGGUGCGGAUUCUUUACCUCUUCCUGGCCCUGCUCCUAGUGGCCGUGGCCGUGCUGGCCUCCCUUGUUUUCAGGAAAGUGGACUCUCUCUCAGAAGACAUCUCCCUGGCCCAGGCCAUUUAUGACAAGAAGCUUAUGUCUAUGCAGGAAAAUCUCCAAGGACUGGAUCUGAAAGCCCCAAACAACUGUUCCUUCUGCCACGAGGCUGGGCAGCUGGAGCAAGAGAUCAGAAAACUGCAGGAGGAGCUGGAGGGAAUUCAGAAGAUGCUUCUGGCCCAGGAGGUGCAACUGGACCAGACCUCUCAGACCCACGAGUUGCUCUCCACCACCAGCAGUCAGAUCUCCCAGGAGAUGGGCAGUUGUUCAUUCUCCAUCCACCAAGUCAACCAGUCUCUGGGGCUCUUUCUUGCCCAGGUGAGAGGCUGGCAGGCCACCACAGCCGGCCUGGACCUCUCUCUGAAGGACCUCACCCAGGACUGCUAUGAUGUCAAGGCUACAGUCCACCAGAUCAACUUCACCGUGGGGCAGACUUCGGAGUGGAUCCACGGGAUCCGGCGGAAGACUGACGAGGAGACCCUGACCCUCCAGAAGAUUGUCACCGACUGGCAAAACUACACCCGGCUCUUCAGCACCCUGCGCACCACCUCAGCCAAGACCGGAGAAGCGGUCAAGAACAUCCAGGCCACCCUGGGGGUCUCCUCCCAGCGCAUCAGCCAGAAUGCCGAGAGCAUGCACGACUUGGUGCUGCAGGUCAUGGGCCUGCAGCUGCAGCUGGAUAACAUCUCGUCCUUCCUGGACGACCACGAAGAGAACAUGCACGAUCUGCAAUACCACACCCGCUAUGCCCAGAACCGCACGGUGGAGAGGUUCGAGACACUAGAAGGACGCAUGACUUCGCAUGAGAUCGAGAUCAGCACCAUCUUCACCAACAUCAAUGCCACCGACAACCACGUGCACAGCAUGCUCAAGUACCUGGACGAUGUGCGGCUCUCCUGCACGCUGGGCUUCCACACCCAUGCCGAGGAGCUCUACUACCUGAAUAAGUCUGUCUCCCUCAUGCUGGGCACCACAGACCUGCUCCGGGAGCACUUCAGCCUGCUCAGUGCGCGGCUGGACUUCAAUGUCCGCAACCUCUCCAUGAUCGUGGAGGAGAUGAAGGCUGUGGACACGCAGCAUGGAGAAAUCCUUCAAAACGUCACCAUCCUAAGAGGUGCUCCCGGCCCUCCAGGACCAAGAGGACCCAAAGGAGACAUGGGCACGAAGGGGCCCAUUGGCAGCAGAGGACCAAAAGGAGACCCUGGUAGCUUCGGCCCCCCGGGACCCCAGGGGCCUCAGGGGCAGCCUGGAGACCCAGGACCUGUGGGAGAAAGGGGGCCGGUUGGCCUUCGAGGUUUCCCAGGCCUCAAAGGCGCAAAGGGAAGCUUUGGAAGUGGAGGCCCAAGAGGACAGCCAGGCCCCAAGGGGGACGUGGGGCCCCCAGGGCCAGAGGGGCCCCCAGGGUCUCCGGGACCCUCAGGGCCUCAGGGAAAACCAGGGAUUGCUGGGAAGACAGGGUCCCCGGGCCAGCGGGGGCCCAUGGGGCUUAAGGGUGAGCCAGGGAUCCAGGGGCCCCCUGGACCCCCAGGGCCCCCAGGCCCACCAGGAAGCCAGAGCCGCUACUAAGGGCCCCAGUCCCAGACACUGCUACACAGGAUGGCGGGAAAGGCCUCAGGGCAGAGCGAGCCCCCCAGAAAGCCACACCUACAGACAGCUGUGGUCCUUUGAUCCCAAAGGGGCCUCCCCCUGGCCUGUCCCUGCACCUCCGGGCUCCACAGUACUGACUGUACCACAGACAGCAGCCCCUCACCCACGCGCGCGCGCGCACGCGGACACGCACACACGUUUCUCUGCUGGCCGGGGGGUGGGUGGGGGGGUGGGCAACCGGGCUUCCCUGGCUGGGCAAGAGGAGAGGGCAGGGGGAGAUGGCCCCUCUCCUGUGACGGAGCCUGCCAAGGAGGUGGCUACCUUGGGGGGGAAGGUCUUGAAUCUAUUUCUGAAUUCUUGACCAACUCAGCUUUCCAGCGUCUUCAGAACCAACCUGGCCAGCAGUUCCCUGUGGCUCCCAGCGCUUGAAAAGACCCAGGAAAACCUUUGCAGGGGAUGUGGUUCAAACUCUAGGGACAAGGGGGAUUUGGCGACCAAAAACAUUCUCCUCCUAACUGUGGGAAUGGAGUCCCGGCAGCUGCCCCUGCCUCACCUGGGCCAGAGGGACUCCACCUGCGCCGCUGUCCCCGGGCUCUGCGCACCAUGCUCCCAUGAGUUCAGCAAUUUUUUCAUGUCUCCAGAAAAUUCCUCACGUCAUCCUUGCCUCCUUCUCCCAGGAGCAUCCCAGAAGAAAUCCAAGGAGGAGUCUCAUCUGCAUGGGAAGGCUAUCUAGGCCCUGGAACAUUCUCCCAGAGUGGUGCCCCGCAGCUGGGACACUGGAGGAAGGUGGGGUGGGGGGGCAGAAGCACGUGUGAAGAGGCCGGGGUCAGCGGGCCGUCUGUGGAGUUGGCUCCCUUGCUCUGCACCAGGCCAGCCUGCCCCACUCCUGGGACGGGGCCCCUCUGUGGCGGCUGAUGGAGGCCAAGCCGGGUAACAACAGCUCUCCCCUCCUGCACCCAGCUCUCCUGCCCACAGGUGCCCGCUGACCUCACCCUACCAUGACUCAGAAUGGCCCGAGGCCUCUCUUCAUGGGCAGCAAGACUGGACGUGAAGACAGAAGGGCCUGAACGUGUACAAGAGGCUCACUUUGACAUCACCCCUCACCACCUCCAGCUUCCUGCGCACACGGGCACACAGGAGCCCUGGGAAGCUCCCCUGGCAAGGUGAAGGCAGCCCACAGGCUAAACUGGUUGUAGAGCUGCCCUCCUUUGUGUACAACAGACUCCGACCACUCCUGGGCCGGGGCAUGGAGCUGUCUCCUCCCCGGCCCGACUCAGACACCAGCCCCUUUCCGCCUUCCGAAAGCCUUCAUGCCACCUCCCCUCUCGUAAUAGGUGUGCAACUGGUUUGCACUCCCGCCCGCCCCCACUGCCGUGUAAUCCUGUCUACAUAUGAUAUCAUGCGACGUAGUAUUACUGACUCAGUAAAGAGCUCUUUCCAGGAGGGAGGUGUCUUCUGGUCCUUUCGGCCCAACCAGGGUCAUAAUGCCUCACCGGCCCUUGAAGGGAAACCAGUGGACAAGGGGUCUCCUAGAUACUCACUGUGGAGUAUGGGUCUCACCCCCUUACUCUCCAUCUAGAAACACUGAGCUCUGCCAGGAAUUCACGGUGGUCCUGUUGGGGCCAGGCACCAAGAGCAAUGUGGGGGAAUUACCCACAACGAGCAGGAGCCCAGUGAGAAACAAGAUGGGAUGAUUGAUACCUACCCGCUGUAGCGAAGCUGAUCUUCUUUGCUCAAUCUACCCAUUCAAUUGCGAAUCUCUUCUGGAAACAUCCUCACAGACACACCUAGAAAUAAUGUUUAGCACAGAGGCCUUGUGCCGUGGGGGUCACCUCUAGGAGGGGAGGGUGGCACAGAGUGAACGAUAGGUCUCCACCUCAAGCCGCACAUGAGGCAGGCCAAGGGGUGGGAGAAGAAGGGGGCCCUGGGGACAAGAGUGACAGGUGAGGCCGAGGAGGCCGGGGAAGGCGUCACCCAGGUUGUAGCAGAGUUUGUGGGCCUUGAAGGAGGCAGUGGGGACCAUCCAGUGGUGUCAUUUUACAGCCUGGGUCCCCAAGAACACCUCCAGGAAAUUCCAGACAAUCACUGUCCAGGGUGGGGUUGACGGCAUGGCUGGCGGGGGCCAUGCUCCCCAGCAUGAGCCAGGGGUCCCGGGAGCUGGGGGAGCCCUAGCCUGAGGGCAAGCCAAUGUCCUGGAGUCAAAGUCUGGACAAGGUAGAUCUGCGAUCCAUUCCAAGGGAUGAGUUGGGACCCACAGAAUGAGAGACAAGGCUCCAAGGAUCAAAAACCGAGCGAUUUGAGAGCAUAGCCGCAAACAGGUAAGAAAAACUCAUGUGUCCUGGACAACUGUCCCCAGCCUCCCUGGCCGUGUGGUUUGGAGGGGGGUACACAGAGAGGGGGUCACAUGGUAAAAUUAGAGACACGAGAGCAAGACUGACGCUGAGCAAAGCUGGCCAUGAACUCUGUGGUUGGCAAUAAAGGAAUAAGAGAAUCAUAACGACAUUAAUAAUAACACACACCAGUGGAGGAUUUACUAUGCAACAGAAGACCAUUCUAAAGACUUUACAGGGCUCCUGGGUGGCUCAGUUGGUUAAGCGACUGCCUUCGGCUCGGGUCAUGAUCCUGGAGUCCCGGGAUCGAGUCCCACAUCGGGCUCCCUGCUCGGCGGGGACUCUGCUUCUCCCUCUGACCCUCUUCCCUCUCG